rnacentral:rRNA from 1 species
UCCCAUAACACUGCGAUGUGGCAUCACAAUGCAGUUAAAGCUCCGGCGGUUAUAGAUGGGCAUGCGUGACAUUAGCUAGUUGGUGAGGUAACGGCUCACCAAGGCUACGAUGUCUAGGGGUUCUGAGAGGAUUAUCCCCCACACUGGUACUGAGACACGGACCAGACUCCUACGGGAGGCAGCAGUAAGGAAUAUUGGGCAAUGGACGCAAGUCUGACCCAGCCAUGCCGCGUGAAGGAUGAAGGCCCUAUGGGUUGUAAACUUCUUUUAUACGGGAAAAAACCACCGGUCGUGUAUCGGUGCUGAUGGUACCGUAAGAAUAAGCAUCGGCUAACUCCGUGCCAGCAGCCGCGGUAAUACGGAGGAUGCAAGCGUUAUCCGGAUUCAUUGGGUUUAAAGGGUGCGCAGGCGGAUUAAUAAGUCAGUGGUGAAGUCCUACGGCUCAACUGUAGAACUGCCAUUGAUACUGUUAGUCUUGAGUAUUGUUGAGGUAGGCGGAAUGUGUCAUGUAGCGGUGAAAUGCUUAGAUAUGACACAGAACACCAAUCGCGAAGGCAGCUUACCAAGCAAUAACUGACGCUCAUGCACGAAAGCGUGGGGAUCAAACAGGAUUAGAUACCCUGGUAGUCCACGCUGUAAACGAUGAACACUCGAUGUUGGCGAUACACAGUCAGCGUCUGAGCGAAAGUA